rnacentral:tRNA from 1 species
AAACCAGAAAAGGGGGAAACAUUCCCCCCAAGGA